UUGCAUGUGCUCGCUCUCUAACAAUCUUUUCCCAAACACCUGUGCACCUUCGGAGGGGUCUCCAAAUUGAUUGCUGUCUUCUUGGAUUCCCUUCCUCUCACAAUAUACACACUUGCUUACAAUGUUGAACGUGCUGGUGCCGGAAGGCCUUAAUGGUAUAAUACAACUUUUAACAACGGAUCUCUUGGCUCUCGCAUCGAUGAAGAACGCAGCGAAAUGCGAUAAGUAAUGUGAAUUGCAGAAUUCAGUGAAUCAUCGAAUCUUUGAACGCACCUUGCGCUCCCUGGUAUUCCGGGGAGCACGCCUGUUCGAGUGUCGUGAAAUUCUCAGGCUGUGAUGCUUUUUCUUGCUAAAAAUCAUCUCGGCUUGGUCUUGGGCUCUGCCGUGACCUUCAUUGGAACGGCUGGCCUUAAAAACAUUAGCUUGACCCAUGUGUGGCAUUGGUUCUACUCGGUGUGAUAAUGAUAUGACCGCUGAGGACAUCUUUUGGAUGGCCAAUUCUCGUUUGGGUUGCUUCUAAUCUGGCUUACGGAUCUUUGGAUCUGUUCCACUUUCAAUUUUGACCUCGAAUCAGGUGGGACUACCCGCUGAACUUAAGCAUA
rnacentral:rRNA from 1 species